CCUACGGGUUGCAGCAGUGGGGAAUAUUGGACAAUGGGCGAAAGCCUGAUCCAGCCAUGCCGCGUGUGUGAAGAAGGCCUUCGGGUUGUAAAGCACUUUCAGUGGGGAAGAAAGCCUUGGGGCUAAUACCCUCGAGGAAGGACAUCACCCACAGAAGAAGCACCGGCUAACUCCGUGCCAGCAGCCGCGGUAAUACGGAGGGUGCGAGCGUUAAUCGGAAUUACUGGGCGUAAAGCGCGCGUAGGCGGUCUGAUAAGCCGGUUGUGAAAGCCCCGGGCUCAACCUGGGAACGGCAUCCGGAACUGUCAGGCUAGAGUGCAGGAGAGGAAGGUAGAAUUCCCGGUGUAGCGGUGAAAUGCGUAGAGAUCGGGAGGAAUACCAGUGGCGAAGGCGGCCUUCUGGACUGACACUGACGCUGAGGUGCGAAAGCGUGGGUAGCAAACAGGAUUAGAUACCCCAGUAGUC
rnacentral:rRNA from 1 species